rnacentral:rRNA from 1 species
GUGAGUGAUGAAGGCCCUAGGGUUGUAAAGCUCUUUCACCGGUGAAGAUAAUGACGGUAACCGGAGAAGAAGCCCCGGCUAACUUCGUGCCAGCAGCCGCGGUAAUACGAAGGGGGCUAGCGUUGUUCGGAAUUACUGGGCGUAAAGCGCACGUAGGCGGAUACUUAAGUUAGGGGUAAAUCCCAGGGCUCAACCCUGGAACUGCCUUUAAUACUGGGUAUCUUGAGUUCGAGAGAGGUGAGUGGAA